AUGGUCGAAUGCCUCGAAUCGACGACCUGGUCAGUGGUCACCGUCGUCCUCUUCUCCGGCGACCGUCGAUCGGCAACGCAGCGGACAUCAAGACCUCCUCUUCCGCCUUCCAAAUCCUUAGCCCAGCUACAUCCACCGACUGACCGACGCACGGUCGCGCGUCCUCAGGUGGACGCCCGGCCGCGCACGCACCGCCCAGCUGCAUCCACUGCGGCGAGCGCGCCUAGGAGGCAGUCGGCCAGCGCGAAUGCACCUUGCCAGGCCGUUGACCAAGCCGCCGGCCAACGGCCGGACUGUCCCAGCGACUUAUGUACAUGCACUACGUGGUGGCAACGGGUAACCACCGCCUUCCCGCCACUCGCGUUGUCGGAGUAG
rnacentral:rRNA from 1 species